rnacentral:rRNA from 1 species
UACGAAGGGUGCAAACGUUGCUCGGAAUUAUUGGGCGUAAAGCGCACGUAGGCGGCUUUUCAAGUCGGAUGUGAAAUCCCUCGGCUUAACCAAGGAAGUGCAUCCGAAACUGGAAGGCUUGAGUACUUAAGAGGAUCGCGGAAUUCCCGGUGUAGAGGUGAAAUUCGCAGAUAUCGGGAGGAACACCGGUGGCGAAGGCGGUUCUCUGGGCCUGUACUGACGCUGAGGAGCGAAAGCGUGGGGAGCGAACAGG